AACGUAGGACACAAGCGUUUAUCCGGAGUUACUGGGCGUAAAGGGCGUGUAGGCGGACCUAUAAGUCUAUUCUGAAAGCUCCUGGCUAAACUGGGAGAGGCGAAUGGAGACUGUAGAUCUAGAGUGAGGAAGAGGAAAGUGGAAUUCCGCGUGUAGUGGUGAAAUGCGUAGAGAUGCGGAGGAACACCAGUGGCGAAAGCGACUUUCUGGUCCUUAACUGACGCUGAGGCGCGAAAGCUGGGGGAGCGAACGGG
rnacentral:rRNA from 1 species